CCCUCCCGAAAUAUUAUGAGCUGCUUUUAUGCUGUUAAGAACUUAAUUUAAUUUGUUGCAAUAAAUUAAAAAGACAUAAAGGCAGAAGCUACAUACUAACCGCAUAAUAUUAUAGCUGGUUUCUACAAAAAGUUAUAUAAGUAACAGUAAUAAUUAUUAUUUACUUAAUAUACAGAGGACAAGCUCUGUAUAUCAACCUAUAUUUUUUAAAAUUAAUACUUUUAAGUAGGCCUGAAAAUAGCCACCUAACAUAAUGUUAUAAUUUACCUGUUAAAAUAAUCCUCCUAAUAUGUUGUAUAUGUAGAAAUAGAUACAAAUCCUAAAUAUUUACUUUUAAUGUUAAAACUAGUAUUCUUCAUUAAUAUAACUUAUACCCUGAACCAUAUAUUACUAAGGAACUCGGCAAAUUCUUAUUUCGACUGUUUACCAAAAACAUUGCCCUAUGGUAACCUAUAUAGGGUAAUUCCUGCCCAGUGAUGUUUCAACGGCCGCAGUACCCUGACUGUGCAAAGGUAGCAUAAUCAUUUGCCUUUUAAUUGAAGGCUAGAAUGAAAGGAUUAACGUAAAUAAAACUGUCUCAGUACUACCAAUAUAAUCUAGACUCUAGGUGAAAAUGCCUAGAUAAUAAUAAAGGACAAAAAGACCCUAUAGAGCUGCAUUUUUUAUAAUCUAUAAAAUACAUUAUAUUAUAUUCAUUUCAAAAAAAUUUUGUUGGGGCGACAGAGGAGUAUAAAAAUCCUCCUUUAAUUAUUAGACAUAUAUGUCCACUAAAUGAUCCUAAUAAGAUCAAAAGAAUAAGCUACCUUAGGGAUAACAGGCUAAUCCUUUUAGAGAGUUCACAUUGACAAAAGGGAUUGGCACCUCGAUGUUGGCUUAAGAUAUCCUUUAGGUGCAGAAGCCUAAAUUGGUUGGUUUGUUCAACCAUUAAAAUCUUACAUGAGCUGAGUUCAGACCGGCGAAAGCCAGGUUAGAUUCUAUCCUUAUUAUAUUCCCCCUUACUAAGUAGUACGAAAGGACCCU
rnacentral:rRNA from 1 species